CGUCUCACGUUCUUUUGAUUUCAUGUUCAGAUCCMAAGUUAACGAUGCGAAACCAGCCCAAGCUAAGGCGAAGGUUGUCACAUCAAGCGAACCAGGACCAAAAAAUAUGAUGUCAACCGGAUAUAGGAUUGGUAUUCUUUAUACGUGAAGAGUUUUAAGACUAUGACGUCAUCAACCAGUGGCAUGACGUCAUAUUGUGACGCAAAGUGUAUUAUAACGAUUUAGUAAUUACGACAUUCAAGUAUUAGUUUUAAGUCUUGAGUUAAUUUAGAACAAUGCACACUGUGUAUCAACGUUUUAAAAAAAAUCCAAUGUAAAAAAUGAUGAAUUUUGCGUUAACUUCUAUGAAUUUAAAUUAAUAUUCUAUUGAAUUUAAAUUUGGAACGCUGACUUGAUAUAGCGUGUUGAUUGUACAUUCACAGUUCAAUGUAAAAAAUAUUUUUAAUUUCAAUUCAAAUGUGUAAGAAUAAAUAAAUGCACAAAAUUGUCUUCGA